CCAGACUCCUACGGGAGGCAGCAGUGAGGAAUAUUGGUCAAUGGCCGAGAGGCUGAACCAGCCAAGUCGCGUGAGGGAAGAAUGUCCUAUGGAUUGUAAACCUCUUUUGUCAGGGAGCAAAGUCACCCACGUGUGGGUGUUGGAGAGUACCUGAAGAAAAAGCAUCGGCUAACUCCGUGCCAGCAGCCGCGGUAAUACGGAGGAUGCGAGCGUUAUCCGGAUUUAUUGGGUUUAAAGGGUGCGUAGGCGGUCUGUUAAGUAAGGGGAAAAUUGGGGGGGCUCACCCCCGUCGAGCCGUUGAAACUGGCAGACUUGAGUUGGCGAGAAGUACGCGGAAUGCGCGGUGUAGCGGUGAAAUGCAUAGAUAUCGCGCAGAGCUCCGAUUGCGAAGGCAGCGUACCGGCGCCACACUGACGCUGAGGCACGAAAGCGUGGGGAUCGAACAGGAUUAGAUACCCCUGUA
rnacentral:rRNA from 1 species